CCUACGGGAGGCAGCAGUGGGGAAUUUUGGACAAUGGGCGAAAGCCUGAUCCAGCAAUGCCGCGUGUGGGAAGAAGGCCUUCGGGUUGUAAACCACUUUUGUACGGAACGAAACGGUUCGCUUUAAUACAGUGGGCUAAUGACGGUACCGUAAGAAUAAGCACCGGCUAACUACGUGCCAGCAGCCGCGGUAAUACGUAGGGUGCGAGCGUUAAUCGGAAUUACUGGGCGUAAAGCGUGCGCAGGCGGUUAUAUAAGACAGUUGUGAAAUCCCCGGGCUCAACCUGGGAAUUGCAUCUGUGACUGUAUAGCUAGAGUACGGUAGAGGGGGAUGGAAUUCCGCGUGUAGCAGUGAAAUGCGUAGAUAUGCGGAGGAACACCGAUGGCGAAGGCAAUCCCCUGGACCUGUACUGACGCUCAUGCACGAAAGCGUGGGGAGCAAACAGGAUUAGAUACCCUGGUAGUCCACGCCCUAAACCGAUGUCAACUGGUUGUUGGGUUGNAUAGUACUCAGUAACGAAGACUACGCGUGUAGUUAGUACCGCCGUCGGGAGGUACGGCCGGCGAGGUUAGUAAACGUACGAAGAAGUAGUAGACGUCGNGAGACGCGACGACGACGACGACGGAGGGAGGAGG
rnacentral:rRNA from 1 species